AAAACCAGUAGAACCAAAAGGUGAAAUGUGGCUAUGUCACCUUCCCUCCCCCAAGCCUGCUUGUCUGGGAUCCCAGGAUGGGGUAGGGGGAAGCCUGUCCUAGGCUCACGCAGUUCCCUGCUGACACUAAGUCCUCCAGGAAUGGAGACAUUCUAGGUCCAAUUGCCCAUUUCUACAUUAAUGGUUAUUUGGGAGUGGGUAGCCAAGCUCUUUGGUCAUCACAGUACGGAUUUAUAUAGAGAGAGCAAGUGGCCAUGUGUGGUCUCUGUUGGGGGCUUAUUCCAUCAACAUCAGCCCAUCCUUCUCCACGUGCUGACAGAGAAUUGGCAAUUUUCUAGAAACCAACCCAUUAUAUCAGCUUCAGUCUUCACCAGCCAGUGACAUUUGCUUUGUAAACAUUUUCAUUUAGAAGACAAAGAUCUUCCUUACAUCAUGGGAAUUCGUGACUCUUCUAGCCAAAUCUUGGUCCUUCAAAGGAAGAUCCUUGUGGCAGUUCCCUUUGCGAGACCGGGCACAAGAAUCGCCUUGAUGGCCACACCACGCUGAGAUGAGUCUCUUGAAAAAGACAAAGGCAAUCCUAUUUACCUGGGAAUAGCAGAGACUAAACUGUGCCUGUGCUGUGAAGAUAGUGGGGGGCAACCCAUACUGAAGCUGCAGGAGAAGGACAUAAUGGAAUUAUAUCGUGCCCCGAAAGCAGAUACAUCUUUUGUAUUUUACAUACAUCCGCAUUGACUUCGAUGACCUUUUUAGUAUUGAGUCAGCAGCCUAUCCUGAGUGGUUAUUACUACUAAUGUAUUUGGCAGUAAACCUGUCUUCCUGACCUAGCAUACGAAGUAUUAUAAUACAGACUUCAUCUUGUAUUACUGGUAAUUUUGGGACACAUAGCCUCAGUUCAACAAAAGCCUGCUCUGCUUGCACAGUGCAUCACGUAUUCCAAACCACUUUCAUGGAUAUUAAUCUUGUUCCUGUGUUGGGAGAUAGGAAAUAUAAUAAGAUAUGUUUCUGCCUUCUAGGGGUUUAGAUUUAAUACCACUGAGUUAAAUAAACAUAUGUCAACUGUUGCAGUAUUGAUAUAGAGGUCCUAGGUGACUGAGGCUUUUAGUGUCUCAACUCCUGAACUCCCCAUCCAGCCAUUUUCCCUCACAUUUCCCAAGGGAGCAGACACUCAGCAGAGCAGUUCCUAGUGAUGGAGUGAUGGCUGACAGCAGACAUGGGGGCCUUGGCCAGGUGGCAUUUAGGAAUAUAUGUCUUUUGGAAUUGCUUUGAGGAGGAUGCUUUCCAGACCAGACUUGUCCCAGGGGCUGAAGUUUUGUGGCUGUUUCUCAGACCUAAAACUUUAGC